UGUUAUUGCAACAGAUGAAACGUCAACAGGAAGUGAUUAAUAGAAUAAUUCUGGGAAGGAAUCUGGUGCUGAAUGUGUUACGGGGAAACUGUUUGAAAAAUACCGAGUGAGAGAGACAGAGAGUAGACGUAUAAAUGUAGGGACUGUAUGAGUGCAGCUACUCUACCUGCCCCACCUCGAUGUUUGGAAAAAAAACCACUCCAUUGUACAUACAGGUGAAGACUAAACAUUUGGAGUGUGUUCUGUGUAGAGGAUACAGGUGGUGACCUUUGACACUUUUCUCCUGCUGCUACCUGUAACGACGAUCAACCUCGGCUUAGAAUGCGCCUUAUUCUGCUUGUCCUUAUUUCAUUAAAGCUGCAGCAUGUACCUGGUGAGUUGCUACUCGGUGCUCAUCCAGAGAUAUUUUUUUCCAAGAUAUCGAACCUCAUCACUGACUUUCCACAUAUUUUAAUCAACACGUCUGCCCAGACGUUUCCAGUACUCAUCGACGAGACGUUGGAUUCUUGCUACUCUUUCACGACUCUCCUCUUCAGGACAGCCGAUGGGUCCUGCAACAAUCGCGACCUCGGUCGCUCCAGGACCAGGAUGGCGCGACUUCUGGCUCCUGUCUACGCUGAUG